GGCCGCACGCGCGCUACACUGAUGAACUCAUCGAGUUCAUUUCCUUUAUCGGAAGAUAUGGGUAAUCUUUUGAAACUUCAUCGUGCUGGGGAUAGAGCAUUGCAAUUAUUGCUCUUGAACGAGGAAUCCCUAGUAAGCACAAGUCACUAGCUUGUGCUGAUUACGUCCCUGCCCUUUGGACACACCGCCCGUCGCUACUACCGAUUGAAUGGCUUAAUGAGGCCUUCGGAUUGAGAUUCGGAGAUUGGCAACAGACCCUGGGUUUUAAAAAGUUGGUCA
rnacentral:rRNA from 1 species